GUUUUAAUAUUUUCUCACUCCUAGUCUCCAACUGACUGGGAGUGAGAAAAUAUUAAACUACUUAAAGCUGUUGGAAGCUAAAGAU
rnacentral:snoRNA from 1 species